GUAACAAAGACCAAAAAUGAAGGUAAAUGUUAAAAUUCGGAUAUUCUAUGCGCUUCAGUUUCCGGCUCUCAUACUUCCAUGUUUUUUCAGGAGGGAAUUGGCUUUGCCGAUUGAUCUUUAUCCAUCACCUGACGGCCACGAGUGUGGGUGGUCCAUGAGUGCCAUGAGUGCUAGAAUGUCCCAUCGCUUAGACCUCCGACUAGAAUGCGGAAUAAAAAUUAAGAAGAGAAGACAGCUAUACAGGAUGCCAGCCUUGGAAAUGUCUGUUUUGAUAUGAGACGGACAUGAAGGAAAGUGCGGUUUUUCCAGGAUGUUAAGACGCCGACGUGUCAAGUACAAAAUUUUCAAGCAUUUAAUUAGUUGAUUUUCGUCGUGAAUAAUGUCCCUACUCAUCAGAAAUGUGGUGGUGAUUGCACUCUCGUUAAUCUUCUUCGUCCAUCUGCUCAAGGGAAUGAGCAAAGACGAAAGAAAUCGCCUCAAGUAAGUUUUUGCUUUCUUUUUUUUUAACAAUAAAAUGCACAGAAUUUCCAUUUCGAUAAAUUGAAAAUUUAACAGAAGUUCUAAUUUGGAAAUGAAAAUUGAUCUUGACCUUGUUUCUUUAUUUAGGUUAAUUGAAAUAGCUUGAAUACAAUUAAAUAGUUGUUUACCUUGUGUAUUUUUAUGAAAUUAGUAAACUUAACUUUGUUAUUAUUUAUUAUUCAGAUUUAUUUCUUUCCUCAUUAAAAAUAUACUGCGAACAAUAUUUAUUCAUGUGCAUAGAUUUUUCAGCUAAACCAGCAUUAUAUAUUCGUUUUGUUGACAUUUUGUGAUGCUUUCGUUACUAAUACGUGCUAUUUUUAUAUCCUGCUUUCUUUAAUACUUAAUAAUAUAUUUUUUUGAAGAUUAUAUGGUAUUAAAGAAAUAUAUAUUUCAAUAUUUU
rnacentral:lncRNA from 1 species